AUUGAACGCUGGCGGAAUGCUUUACACAUGCAAGUCGAACGGCAGCACGGGGGCAACCCUGGUGGCGAGUGGCGAACGGGUGAGUAAUACAUCGGAACGUGCCCAGUCGUGGGGGAUAACGUAGCGAAAGUUACGCUAAUACCGCAUACGAUCUACGGAUGAAAGCGGGGGACCGUAAGGCCUCGCGCGAUUGGAGCGGCCGAUGUCAGGUUAGGUAGUUGGUGAGGUAAAGGCUCACCAAGCCGACGAUCUGUAGCUGGUCUGAGAGGACGACCAGCCACACUGGGACUGAGACACGGCCCAGACUCCUACGGGAGGCAGCAGUGGGGAAUUUUGGACAAUGGGCGCAAGCCUGAUCCAGCCAUUCCGCGUGCAGGACGAAGGCCUUCGGGUUGUAAACUGCUUUUGUACGGAACGAAAAGGCUCUGGUUAAUACCUGGGGCUCAUGACGGUACCGUAAGAAUAAGCACCGGCUAACUACAUGCCAGCCGCCGCUGUAA
rnacentral:rRNA from 1 species